rnacentral:lncRNA from 1 species
AAAGAAGAAAGGUUUAGGUUUGUCCAAAUUUCGUAUGCCAUGCAUGACGAAUGAAGUGAUGUAUUGUUUCAAUUGGUUUCGACCUAGUAACUCCUUGAGUUUUUGCACCAGUAUUUAUUGUUGUUCAACCUUUCCAGUUUCAAUCCAGUAUAAUAUUUGUACUUAUCACACUGGUGAAAAAUUUCUAUCAUACUGAGAAAGUAAAGAAAAAGGCAGUAUUUUGAGCAAUCAUUUUAGCUUCGUCUUAUAGUAGUUUGGUAGUCGUUAGAUGCUUGAUUUGACCCUAGUGCCCCUCAGGGCAGCCUCGGGGAGAGAGAAUCAUUCUCCCGGUGUUUAGUCCAUUUCGGUUUGGAAGGUUCUAUUUUGGAAUUUCUAAGACUUUCAAGCUGAGCUGUCUACGACGAACAUAGAUGGAGACAAUAUAUCCAGUCUCUUUUGUGACUCAUUGAGUCACCUUAAAAAUCAUACAUUAAGUACAUUAUUGAGUAAGAUAGAGGACACAAAUUUUUCUAAAAAAAUUCGCCAUAAU